UACACUGAAUGCCUGUGCUCUGUGCACUCUGUGCUUGUGCAGGUCAAACCGACUGCCAGGUCCUGUCACCACCGGCACUGGGCUCAAUGACCGUGAACGGCUUGAUGUUCAGCAACACGACCACGUUUGUGUGCACAUCUCCCUAUGUCCUUAUGGGCUCGGCCGUGCGUACUUGUGAAAUCAACGGCCAGUGGAGCGGUGUGCAGCCAGCUUGCGUCCUGACGACUGCUGCUCUGAGUGCGGCCAGUGACGAGCUAGUCAAGGACUCCGUCUCAGAACGCAUGACACAAACGUGUUAGCUCCCGCUCCAUGCCCAUUGUUGGAGCGACAGUCCUGGAAUCCAGAGUUGCAAGUGAGGUGGUGAUACGGCAAGCAGACGGUGGCAAAGUACGGCUUAAAAUCUCUACAUCUGGCAAGUGGCCGGCAUACCACCCCAAUGGACAUCGGAACAGUACACGUAGAGUAGCAUCUCUACGUGACAGGGUAUGAGCGCAAGCCAGUAUUGCCAAGCACUGGGGACGGACCUUUGGCAAUCUGAAGAAUGUUUUGUCCGAGAAUUGAUCCUUGGAUCUGUGGCGUUGCAGUUGUGGUGCUCCCGACCCUCUUGCGCGAUGGCCGCGGAGACUUGGCGAAAAGUUCGAGACAUACGGCAUCUCAAUAUCUUCCACCACAAUCAGUACAUCAGCACCACCAUCGAGUGCAGCGACAUCAGCAAUAGAAGACGCACAUGAUAUCAUUCACCCUUACGGCCUUAGCGAAGACCCGGGAAUACCUGAGAAGAUGUUAGCCGCAACUUUACUGGAAAAGUCGUCGGUGACAACGGCACUCCAUAUUUUAGCUGCAUGCAGUUAGGUCUCUCAACAAGUGUACCCAAAGUUUUCAAGCUAAUAUACAAGCAAAUUCACUAGGGGCCGAGUAUAUUUUCCUACACCUCUCCCUGUUUGUUGUUGUUAUUUCUGCAUUCAAAUUGUUUGUGUACCUGUACAUUUAUUACAGUAGAGCCACGUAUCCACGGCUGUUGUUUCCAAGGUCAGGCUCGUCAGUUAUACAAACCUUUCAGCAAUCUGGCCUUAGGCUUAGUUCCUUGACUUCUUGUACCACCUUCUUAGAUGCACAUCCCACUGGAUAGUGAGCAAUACGUGUGUAGCAGAAUCUGUAUUCCAGAAAAGCAGAGACUUGAGUCUAUUGACACUGCGUUUCGUUUUAAAACGUUAUUGGCUGUGGUGUUCCUAGAGGUAUACUAUACAUGUACAUUCCUGGGUCCCACGUUCUGUGACGCCCGACUGUAUUCGUGGUGCCUCAACAACUUUUAAUUUUGUGCACUCGGGAAAACCUGCCUGAGGCUGUGAGGCUGCAGAGUGUUGGCUGUGUUUUGCUUUAAAAAAACCAUC